CUUGGCGGUGAACUUGAGCCAGCAGCGGUUAACCCGGCCCGGGGUUCUGGGCCUCAGCCGGCGCCAGCAGCUCCCUCAGGUGGGGCGCAAGCCUCAGCGCGCCGCCCUUCUCCGCUCCUCUCCUCCAACCGGCCCUUACCUAGGGCGACGGCCCCGGGGACCCCCUUCCCAAGGGCGUCGGCCUGGAGCCUGGAGUCUGUAGGAGUGGCGGGAGAUGGGGACGCGAGUCCCUGGACGCCGACAGUCUGUCUCUAAGGCGUUGCUGCGUGGCUUUGGUACACAGAGCCUCGACCGCUUCUCCACCGCUGCAAGCACAGCGGGGAAGUGGAUGGAGAAGCAAAGACAGACAGACAGACAGACAGACAAGCGGCGGCGGGGCUACCCUGAAACCCGAGCGUCUCCAAGCCCCCACCCCCAACCCCCGGGCACGGCGCUGCAGAUGCCAGAUCCCCGACCAGAGGCGGUGGAGAUGGGCAGGGCAAAGAACGCGCGCGCCGCUCGCAGCUCGUCCGCGCGUGGCCUUCCUCUUGCCCCCCUGCACCUUCAAUUUACCUUAUGCAGGGCGCCCCGCGAGCUGCGGGCUGAGGCGCCGAGCCGAAGCCCAGAGGACAGGAGUUUGAGAGCCGCCAUCUUCGGCCCCGGGUGCGGGAGACGGUGGCGCGCGCGGGAGUGCGUGCGAGUGCUGGUUGCCCGGGGCCGCGGCGGCGUCACCGGCUAAGAAGAGAGAAGGCAAGGCGAGCGGUAGGGCGGGCUGGAGGCUCGACCGCGCGUCAGUGACGUCCUCGGGACCUCAGAGCGGUGCCGCCCCUUGCUGCCUGCUGGCUUGUCAAGAAGCGAGACAGGGAGGGGCUCACGGCUAGGAAUGGAAAGGCUGCACAGCUAGGACGAGCCCCGCGGGUUGUGCCGGGGCCGGAGGUGCUGGGCUCCAGCUCAUCUGCGGGCACACCCGCAGCGGCGGGCGCUGCACUCAGGCUGGAGGGGGCGCUAGAGCCUGCCUUCCCCUCGCGCAAGGCUUGGCAUCAACCAGGGUUUCGGGUUGCCAAGGGCCUGGAGGGUCUCUUACUGAACGUGUUACUUUUCCAAAUCGCCCUCUGGAAUGAGUACAGGUACAAAGGGUCACUGAUAAAGAUCUCCUUCCAGAUCUAGACAGCUCACCUUUCCAACAUUUCUCAACCCCAACACCCACAACUCUCUUCAAGUCUGGUUUUGCCCUUAGUUUCCUCUGAAACCCAGCAGCGUGCUGACUGACCCUCAUGAGACAUGACCUGCUUAACCGACAGAGGGACAAGAUUAGAACUGGGCUGUUGUUCCCCAUCAUCCUACUCUGUGUUCCAGAAUUUUCCUGGAACCGGAGUCCCAACAAUUCCAGAAAUUACAGAACAGCAACCGUUAAAUACAGAAGUUGGUGCUAGAGUGGGCUGAAGCUGUGUAGCACUUGACUGUGUUGCUUUGAAGAGGAAGGUGGAAGACUGUGGAGAUCUGGCCUGGAGCAGCAUCUGGAUACUUUCGGCAGAACUUAAAAGGCAACCCUAAAGGAAGCCUGAAAGAUAACCACACUGAGAGCAAUGAGGACUGUGGAGACCCAGAGCAGAAGGUUUCAGAGAGGAACACUAUCAGCCAUUGGGCUCCAAGCUCUUGUGAUAUUUGGGCAAAGAAUCUAAUGGCCCUGGGCUUUGAUCCUAAGAACUUACCUAAGGGGAAAUUUUUAAAGUAACAGAAUAAUUUCUAUAGUGGAAUAAAAUUUCAAGACCAC
ensembl:processed_transcript BC037032 cDNA Sequence BC037032